rnacentral:rRNA from 1 species
UACGUAGGGGGCUAGCGUUGUCCGGAAUCAUUGGGCGUAAAGCGCGCGUAGGCGGCCAGAUAAGUCCGGUGUGAAAGUCACAGGCUCAACCUGUGAAUGCCGCUGGAAACUGUCUGGCUCGAGUCCGGAAGAGGAGAGUGGAAUUCCUGGUGUAGCGGUGAAAUGCGCAGAUAUCAGGAGGAACACCGGUGGCGAAGGCGGGUCUCUGGGCCGAUACUGACGCUGAGGAGCGAAAGCGUGGGGAGCGAACAGG